rnacentral:rRNA from 1 species
GUAGUCUCGCACAGAUGCAUAUCAAUAAGCGGAGGAAAAGAAACUAACAAGGAUUCCCUAGUAACGGCGAGUGAAGCGGGAAGAGCUCAAAUUUGAAAUCUUAAAGGGUUUCCCUUUACGAAUUGUAGUUUAAAGAAGUGUUUUCUGUUGAGGUUUUGGUAAAAGUUCUUUGGAAUAGGACAUCAUAGAGGGUGAGAAUCCCGUAUUUGACCUUUACUUUCAACUUUGUGAUACACUUUCAAAGAGUCGGAUUGUUUGGGAAUGCAGUCCAAAAUGGGUGGUAAAUUUCAUCUAAAGCUAAAUAUUGGCGAGAGACCGAUAGCGAACAAGUACCGUGAGGGAAAGAUGAAAAGAACUUUGAAAAGAGAGUUAAACAGUACGUGAAAUUGUCAAAAGGGAAGCGUUUGACACCAGUGUUGUUUUUCUGAAAAUCAAUUAAAGAACUGUUUAUGCUAAGCUGUUUAGACUUUAUCAGCUAAUCUGUUUAGUUUUGAGCUUUUCUUUAAUGCACUUUUCAGUUAACAAGUCAACAUCAAUUUCUUUUGCUGUAAAAAAGCUUGAGGAAGGUGGCUUGAGAUUCGUCUUAAGUGUUUAUAGCCUCUUGCCUAUGCAGUCGGAGAGAUUGAGGUCUGCAGCGUAGAUCCUUCGGGGCUAAAUGCAUUUGUGCUAAGUUAUAGCAUUUUAUAGACAACUUGUUGACUAUGAUUUGUCUUGUAGCUUACUCGCUUAUGUUAUUUUACCUACGCUUAGGAUGUUGAUGUGAUACUGCGAGCA